GGGGCCUUAGCUCAGCUGGGAGAGCGCCUGCUUUGCACGCAGGAGGUCAGCUCGAUCCGCUAGGCUCCA
rnacentral:tRNA from 1 species